UACGUAGGGGGCAAGCGUUGUCCGGAAUCAUUGGGCGUAAAGAGCGCGUAGGCGGCCCAGUAAGUCCGCUCUGAAAGUCAGGGGCUCAACCCCUGGAUGCGGGUGGAUACUGCUGGGCUAGAGUCCGGAAGAGGCGAGUGGAAUUCCUGGUGUAGCGGUGAAAUGCGCAGAUAUCGGGAAGAACACCCGUGGCGAAGGCGGCUCUCUGGGACGGUACUGACGCUGAGACGCGAAAGCGUGGGGAGCGAACAGG
rnacentral:rRNA from 1 species